GAUUAAUCUACAGGAGGAGGAGAAGAAUCAUCCACACCACUCUUCGCCACCCGGCUGGGAGCAAUUCCAGAAGGCAGGGUCUGCUUGGGCAGUUGAGAGGCCUUGGGUCAUGCCGCUUAUUGAAACCAUCAGCAGGAGGAGUUUGGAUAAAGCUGAAGUUCCACUUAGGCGCUCGGUGAUCCAUCUGGGAAGACAGUGGCCACAGCCCAACAGGAGGCCGGGGAACCUGGACCCCACCAGCCAAGCUUUGAGAAGCAGAUAGGCUUGAAUGAGCAUGGAAUGUAUCUAUUUAAAAAGCAGCUGGAAGUCUGUCAAGUGCAUUCUGGAAAUGGAUUCAGGCUAACAGAGUGUUCUGAAUAGAGACGCCUAAAACAACAACCCUUUUUCAUAUAGAUGGAAUCAGAAUAAAUUUCAUCCUAGUUCUAUUUCCAAAAUAUUAUUGGUGCCCCUAGUUGUACUGCCUGAGUGUUGUCAGAUCAAGGCUUACAAACUCACGGGCGAUGCUGCAGAAUGAGUGACAACAGAUAAUGCCAAUUGCCCAGAUUGAAUCCAGCAAGAAAUGACAUUGGAAUGGCUCUACCUUGUGGAGGGAACUGUCCAGUGCAGAGGACCUGCCUGAGUAUUGCUUACAAUACAUCUUUCUGGUUAUAAU
rnacentral:lncRNA from 1 species